rnacentral:rRNA from 1 species
UCCUACGGGACGCAGCAGUGGGGAAUAUUGCACAAUGGGCGAAAGCCUGAUGCAGCAACGCCGCGUGAGUGAAGAAGGCCUUCGGGUUGUAAAGCUCUGUCUUUUGGGACGAUAAUGACGGUACCAAAGGAGGAAGCCACGGCUAACUACGUGCCAGCAGCCGCGGUAAUACGUAGGUGGCAAGCGUUGUCCGGAUUUACUGGGCGUAAAGGAUGCGUAGGUGGAUAUUUAAGUGGGAUGUGAAAUACCCGGGCUCAACUUGGGUGCUGCAUUCCAAACUGGAUAUCUAGAGUGCAGGAGAGGAAAGUGGAAUUCCUAGUGUAGCAGUGAAAUGCGUAGAUAUUAGGAGGAACACCAGUGGCGAAGGCGGCUUUCUGGACUGUAACUGACACUGAGGCAUGAAAGCGUGGGGAGCAAACAGGAUUAGAUACCCCGGUAGUCC